CAGGACAAUCCGGUGAGCCUGGAUUCCCAGGAUCUCCAGGCCCUCGAGGCUUUCCUGGUGCUCCUGGUCUGCCAGGUCUCAAGGGUCACCGGGGAUUGAAAGGACUUGACGGUCCAAAAGGUGAAAUUGGAGCAGCUGGAGCAAAGG